rnacentral:rRNA from 1 species
AACGAACGCUGGCGGCAUGCCUAACACAUGCAAGUCGAACGAGACCUUCGGGUCUAGUGGCGCACGGGUGCGUAACGCGUGGGAACCUGCCCUUAGGUUCGGAAUAACUCCCCGAAAGGGGUGCUAAUACCGGAUAAUGUCUUCGGACCAAAGAUUUAUCGUCUUUGGAUGGGCCCGCGUUGGUUUAGCUAGUUGGUAGGGUAAAAGCCUACCAAGGCGACGAUCCAUAGCUGGUCUGAGAGGAUGAUCAGCCACACUGGGUCUGAGACACGGCGCAGAAUCCUACGGGAAGCAGCAGUGGGGAAUAUUGGACAAUGGGCGAAAGCCUGAUCCAGCAAUGCCACGUGAGUGAUGAAGGCCUUAGGGUUGUAAAGCUCUUUUACCCGGGAUGAUAAUGACAGUACCGGGAGAAUAAGCUCCGGCUAACUCCGUG